rnacentral:lncRNA from 13 species
GGGCCAGCCGACCCACUACUACUUGCUCAUCUGUUAGUGAGAUUCACCUCUGUACAAUACAGAGAAUUAGAAUAUUCCAAGUGUAUUCCAAGUGUAGAGGGGGUAGGUAGCCUAGUGGUUAGAGUGUAGAGGGGGUAGGUAGCCUAGUGGUUAGAGUGUAGAGGAGGCAGGGUAGCCUAGUGGUUAGAGUGUAGAGGGGGCAGGGUAGCCUAGUGGUUAGAGUGUAGAGGGGGUAGGUAGCCUAGUGGUUAGAGUGUAGAGNNNNNNNNNNGUAGAGGGGGCAGGGUAGCCUAGUGGUUAGAGUGUAGAGGGGGCAGGGUAGCCUAGUGGUUAGAGUGUAGAGGGGGCAGGGUAGCCUAGUGGUUAGAGUGUAGAGGGGGCAGGGUAGCCUAGUGGUUAGAGUGUAGAGGGGGCAGGGUAGCCUAGUGGUUAGAGCGUAGAGGUGGCAGGUAGCCUAGUGGUUAGAGUGUAGAGGCAGCAGGGUAGCCUAGUGGUUAGAGCGUUGGACUAGCAACCGGAAGGUUGUAAGUUCAAACCCCCGAGCUGACAAGGUACAAAUCUGUCGUUCUGCCCCUGAACAAGGCAGUUAACCCACUGUUCCUAGGCAGUCAUUGAAAAUAAGAAUUUGUUCUUAACUGACUUGCCUAGUUAAAUAAAAGGUAAAAUUUAAAAUAAAUUAAAAACACACAGCAAUGUAUCUUCACACACACAUAGGGGUUAUAUGCCUGUCCCUUACAUUGUUUGUGUGCUAUAAUAUUUAUAAUAUAAUAUUUAAUACUGGCUCUUACGACCAAUGUAAGUGAAUAACUACUAGCUACUGACCUGGCAGUGUGGGGCUCUUGUAAAUAGCAGAGGAAUAAGGGGUGUUAUAGGGCCUGGUGAAGAUAUGACCUGGCAGUGUGGGGCUCUUGUAAAUAGCAGAGGAAUAAGGGGUGUUAUAGGGCCUGGUGAAGAUAUGACCUGGCAGUGUGGGGCUCUUGUAAAUAGCAGAGGAAUAAGGGG